rnacentral:rRNA from 1 species
GAUGAACGCUGGCGGCGUGCCUAAUACAUGCAAGUCGAGCGAACAGACGAGGAGCUUGCUCCUCUUACGUUAGCGGCGGACGGGUGAGUAACACGUGGAUAACCUACCUAUAAGACUGGGAUAACUUCGGGAAACCGGAGCUAAUACCGGAUAAUAUAUUGAACCGCAUGGUUCAAUAGUGAAAGACGGUUUUGCUGUCACUUAUAGAUGUAUCCGCGCCGCAUUAGCUAGUUGGUAAGGUAACGGCUUACCAAGGCAACGAUGCGUAGCCGACCUGAGAGGGUGAUCGGCCACACUGGAACUGAGACACGGUCCAGACUCCUACGGGAGGCAGCAGUAGGGAAUAUUCCGCAAUGGGCGAAAGCCUGACGGAGCAACGCCGCGUGAGUGAUGAAGGUCUUCGGAUCGUAAAACUCUGUUAUUAGGGAAGAACAAAUGUGUAAGUAACUAUGCACGUCUUGACGGUACCUAAUCAGAAAGCCACGGCUAACUACGUG